UCUCUCUUCUUCUCUCCCUCCACACAGAUGAAGUGGACUUGCUGGACAAAAUCACUUCCCAUGCACAGUACCUCAGCAAUGUCUCCUUUGCCCAUGAUGAAGCCAACUGCAGCAUCCUGGAGAUCGGGCAGUAUGCUACCCUCAACAUCCCCACCAGAGACGCCUUUGGGGACAGCUUUGCAGAUGAGCUGAGCGUGCUCAUGAAGCUCAGGUACUCGCUGAAGGAGGACACCAGCCUUGUGACCAUCCUCAGCCAUCGGAGCCAUGUGCUCUUCCAGAUCAGGAUCAACCCAUACGCCUUGGUCUUUGUCACCACGAGGAGGAGGCACUAUGAGUUCCCAGUUUCCUUCCUUGGCGAUGGGCACUGGCACCAGGUUGCUCUCAGCAUCUCCUUGGAGAGGCUGGAGUUGCACGUGGACUGUCGGCUGGUGGACAGAGUGAGCUGGUCCAACUAUUUCGGGAUGGGAGUGAACACUGAGGGGCUGAUCAUCAUUGGAGGCCUGAUCGAGUCCUUCGAGAUACCCUUUAAGGGUGCUCUACAGCAACUGACCUUUGUGAUGGGAGACCCAGCAGCCGCCAGUGAGCACUGCAGCAGCUACAACCCAAUGUGCGCAUCCUCCUUCAACCUCACCCGCUUCGGUUCCCAAUGGGAUCUUGCAACAGCCUGGCCAGAGGUAG
rnacentral:lncRNA from 14 species